UCCAUUGCUCAGUUGGUAGAGCACAAGGCUCUCAACCUUAUGGACGUGGGUUUAAGCCCCAUGGUGGAG
rfam:Triticum aestivum genome assembly, contig: Triticum_aestivum_CS42_TGACv1_scaffold_130433_2BL